CACACAUCGAACUUCUUGAUUUUUGCUGCGGAUUAUCACCAUGGGUUUAAUCCAUAAGAGAAAGAGGUAUCAUGAUCAUCAAUAUGAGUUUCACUGAUACAUCUAAGAUUUCGAGUUAGCUAUGGUGAGACUCCUUGCUUCUGGAGGAUUUUUUUAGUUAUCAGUUUAGUUAGGAUGUCGUGGGUCUUUUUCAGACUUCCAUCUUUAUCAAUUAGAG
rnacentral:misc_RNA from 1 species